rfam:T'Ho virus strain T'Ho-Mex07, complete genome
AGAAAUUCAUCUGUGUGGAUUUCUUUACAACAGUUUUGGAAGAGAGAACAAUACGUUUAACACAGUGUGAAUAG